AGAGUUUGAUCCUGGCUCAGAAUCAACGCUGGCGGCGUGCCUAACACAUGCAAGUCGAACGCGAAAGUGGAGCAAUCCAUGAGUAGAGUGGCAAACGGGUGAGUAACACGUGGGUGACCUGCCUUCGAGUGGGGGAUAACGUCCCGAAAGGGACGCUAAUACCNGCAUAACAUACCGCCUUUUAAGAGGUGGACAUCAAAGCCGGGGACCGCAAGGCCUGACGCUUGAAGAGGGGCCCGCGUCCGAUUAGCUAGUUGGUGGGGUAAUGGCUCACCAAGGCAACGAUCGGUAGCCGGCCUGAGAGGGCGGACGGCCACACUGGGACUGAGACACGGCCCAGACUCCUACGGGAGGCAGCAGUGGGGAAUUGUUCGCAAUGGGCGCAAGCCUGACGACGCAACGCCGCGUGGAGGAUGAAGACCUUCGGGUCGUAAACUCCUUUCGAUCGAGACGAAUGGCCCUUGGGCUAAUCACCAGGGGAAUGACGGUACCGAGAGAAGAAGCCCCGGCUAACUCCGUGCCAGCAGCCGCGGUAAUACGGGGGGGGCAAGCGUUGUUCGGAAUUACUGGGCGUAAAGGGCUCGUAGGCGGCCAACUAAGUCAGACGUGAAAUCCCUCGGCUUAACCGGGGAACUGCGUCUGAUACUGGAUGGCUUGAAUCCGGGAGAGGGAUGCGGAAUUCCAGGUGUAGCGGUGAAAUGCGUAGAUAUCUGGAGGAACACCGGUGGCGAAGGCGGCAUCCUGGACCGGCAUUGACGCUGAGGAGCGAAAGCCAGGGGAGCAAACGGGAUUAGAUACCCCGGUAGUCCUGGCCCUAAACGAUGAAUGCUUGGUGUGGCGGGUAUCGAUCCCUGCCGUGCCGAAGCUAACGCAUUAAGCAUUCCGCCUGGGGAGUACGGUCGCAAGGCUGAAACUCAAAGAAAUUGACGGGGGCCCGCACAAGCGGUGGAGCAUGUGGUUUAAUUCGAAGCAACGCGCAGAACCUUACCCACGUUUGACAUGUCUAGUAUGGGCACCGGAGACGGAGUCCUUCAGUUCGGCUGGCUAGAACACAGGUGCUGCAUGGCUGUCGUCAGCUCGUGUCGUGAGAUGUUGGGUUAAGUCCCGCAACGAGCGCAACCCUCGCCUUUAGUUGCCAUCAUUCAGUUGGGCACUCUAGAGGGACUGCCGGUGAUAAGCCGGAGGAAGGUGGGGAUGACGUCAAGUCCUCAUGGCCCUUACGGGUAGGGCUACACACGUGCUACAAUGGUGGUGACAGUGGGCAGCGACACAGUGAUGUGAUGCUAAUCUCAAAAAGCCAUCUCAGUUCAGAUUGUACUCUGCAACUCGAGUACAUGAAGUUGGAAUCGCUAGUAAUCGUAGAACAGCAUGCUACGGUGAAUACGUUCCCGGGCCUUGUACGCACCGCCCGUCACACCAUGGGAGUUGGUUUUACCUGAAGACGGUGCUCUAACCCGCAAGGGAGGAAGCCGGCCACGGUAAGGUCAGCGACUGGGGUGAAGUCGUAACAAGGUAACCGUA
rnacentral:rRNA from 1 species